rnacentral:lncRNA from 1 species
GGGCCAUGGAACAUAUGCUGGUGCUAGCCACUGAUCGGAAUCAACAAUCAACGCAAACAUUCAUAAAUCUCCGCAUAUGUAAGAAAAACUCUCAUUAAUGCACAUAUUCGAGAUGAAGGAUCGAGCCUUUGGUUGGGACCGAGCUUCACAAUUUGGAACUCAAGUUAUGCCCAUUUACGAAUUCCGAGCUGAGGGAUCGAGCCUUAGGUAUAAUUGAGCUUCACUAUGCGAUUUGGACCUCCAACUUAGGCCUAUUUUUGAGCUCAGGGAUAGAGCCUCAGGUAGAACCGAGCUUUUCUUGGCGAUUUGAAAUUGGUGCUUGUCGGGAAAGCUUUUUAAUGAUUCAUUCUUAACAAUACGUACUCGAUUAUCCAUAAUUCUCCAUUGCAUAUGUUUGUUUCUAAAUAACCAGUUUGUUUUAUUGUGGCAAAGCAAAGAUAUGUU